CUCUUGCCUUAAGGAGCAGACCAGCAGGGAAGCAGACCCAAUCAUUCCAGGACCAAAGGGAAGAAUUAUUACGAAGCAUAAAGAGGGAUCUCUGGAAACAUAAAGCUAAAUGGUCAUGUAACAAAGUUUUGGCCAAUGAAAUAUGAGAAGAGAUUUACUGGAACAUCCUUCCUUUUUUUAACCGUCUUGAAUGAGGACAAGAGUGACAGCAGCCACUGUGCAGCCAUAAUAGAAAGAACAUGAAAAUCACAGAGAUGCUGGUCCCUACAUCUUUGAGCCAAUGGACCACCUACCUCCAAACUUCUUAUGAAGGCCCCAAACCACAAACACAAAGGAAGCUUCCAUGGAACAGGAUUACAGCACUGCCAGCAACCAGCAGCAGAAAUGCUGCUGCAACCCAGGUGCAACCAGCAGCAGAAAUGGCCAAGACAGGAAACAUCAGCACCAGCAGCGCAGAGACCUCCAUGUAACAUGAAGAAUUGGUCCACUGAGCAUUGAAGACACAACAAGACAUGUUCCCAUCAAACUGGUCAGGUAGUCCUGUCACUUUCACCUCAUAGUGUGUCACAAACCAUUUCUCCCUAUGAUCUUCCAUUUAGUUCCCCUGAAUUAAAGUGAUGGCUCUUAACUGGCCUCCCUGCCUCCAUUCUCUCCCAGUCCUCCAGUCGAA